rnacentral:misc_RNA from 1 species
GAAAUGCGAUAAGUAGUGUGAAUUGCAGAAUUCAGUGAAUCAUCGAAUCUUUGAACGCACAUUGCGCCCCUUGGUAUUCCAUGGGGCAUGCCUGUUCGAGCGUCAUUUGUACCCUCAAGCUCUGCUUGGUGUUGGGUGUUUGUCCCGUCUCCGCGCGUGGACUCGCCCCAAAGUGAUUGGCAGCCGGCGUACUGGUCCCGGAGCGCAGCACAUGUCGCACAAACGAGUGCCUUGGUACGGCGGCGUCCAUAAGCCCCUCUCUCACGCUCUUGACCUCGGAUCAGGUAGGGAUACCCGCUGAACUUAAGC